rnacentral:misc_RNA from 1 species
GAUGAAGAACGCAGCGAAAUGCGAUACGUAAUGUGAAUUGCAGAUUUCAGUGAAUCAUCGAACCUUUGAACGCACAUUGCGCCCGCUAGUAUUCUGGCGGGCAUGCCUGUUCGAGCGUCAUUUCAACCAUCAAGCCCUAGGCUUGCGUUGGAGCCCUGCGGCUGCCGCAGGCUCCCAAAUCCAGUGGCGGGCUCGUCGUCGUACCGAGUGCAGUAAACAUCCUCGCUCAGGGAACGUGACGGGUUCUUGCCGUGAAACCCCCCACAUAUCAAGGUUGACCUCGGAUCAGGUAGGAAUACCCGCUGAACUUAAGCAUAUCAAUAAGCGGAGGA